AGAGUUUGAUCAUGGCUCAGGAUGAACGCUGGCGGCGCUGCCUAACACAUGCAAGUCGAGCGAUUCUCUUCGGAGAAGAGCGGCGGACGGGUGAGUAACGCGUGGGUAACCUGCCCUGUACACACGGAUAACAUACCGAAAGGUAUGCUAAUACGGGAUAAUGUACUUUUGUCGCAUGGCAGAAGUAUCAAAGCUCCGGCGGUACAGGAUGGAUCCGCGUCUGAUUAGCUAGUUGGAGAGGUAAUGGCUCACCAAGGCAACGAUCAGUAGCCGACCUGAGAGGGUGAUCGGCCACAUUGGAACUGAGACACGGUCCAAACUCCUACGGGAGGCAGCAGUGGGGAAUAUUGCACAAUGGGCGAAAGCCUGAUGCAGCAACGCCGCGUGAGCGAUGAAGGCCUUCGGGUCGUAAAGCUCUGUCCUCAAGGAAGAUAAUGACGGUACUUGAGGAGGAAGCCCCGGCUAACUACGUGCCAGCAGCCGCGGUAAUACGUAGGGGGCUAGCGUUAUCCGGAAUUACUGGGCGUAAAGGGUGCGUAGGUGGUUUCUUAAGUCAGAGGUGAAAGGCUACGGCUCAACCGUAGUAAGCCUUUGAAACUGAGAAACUUGAGUGCAGGAGAGGAGAGUAGAAUUCCUAGUGUAGCGGUGAAAUGCGUAGAUAUUAGGAGGAAUACCAGUUGCGAAGGCGGCUCUCUGGACUGUAACUGACACUGAGGCACGAAAGCGUGGGGAGCAAACAGGAUUAGAUACCCUGGUAGUCCACGCCGUAAACGAUGAGUACUAGGUGUCGGGGG
rnacentral:rRNA from 1 species